GAUGAAGAACGCAGCGAAAUGCGAUAAGUAAUGUGAAUUGCAGAAUUCAGUGAAUCAUCGAAUCUUUGAACGCACCUUGCACCCUUUGGCUAUUCCGAAGGGUAUGCCUGUUUGAGUAUCAUGAACACCUCAACUCUUAUGGUUUGCCAUGAUGAGCUUGGACUUUGGGGGUCUUGCUGGCCUGUGGUCAGCUCCUCUCAAAUGGAUUAGCUUGCCAGUGUUUGGUGGCAUCACAGGUGUGAUAACUAUCUACGCUUGUGGUUUUCCACCAGGUAACCUUCAGCAAUGGGGGUUCGCUGGGGCUCAUACAUGUCUCUCCUCAGUGAGGACAGCUCUUUGAACGUUUGAUCUCAAAUCAGGUAGGACUACCCGCUGAACUUAAGCAUAUCAAUAAGCGGAGGA
rnacentral:misc_RNA from 1 species